AUUGAACGCUGGCGGCAUGCCUUACACAUGCAAGUCGAACGGUAACAGGUCUUCUGAUUCUGACGAGUGGCGAACGGGUGAGUAAUACAUCCGAACGUGCCCGAUCCUGGGGGAUAACGAGGCUAAAGCUUUGCUAAUACCGCAUCCGAUCUACGGUUCAAAUCGGUGGAUCUUCUGACCUCGCGCGGACGGAGCGGCCGAUGGCAGAUUAGUUAGUUGGUGGGAUAAAAGCUUACCAAGCCGACGAUCUGUAGCUGUUCUGAGAGGAUGAUCAGCCACACUGGGACUGAGACACGGCCAAGACUCCUACGGGAGGCAGCAGUGGGGAAUGUUGGACAAUGGGCGAAAGCCUGAUACAGCCAUGCCGCGUGCAGGAUGAAGGCCUUCGGGUUGUAAACUGCUUUUGUACGGAACGAAAAGCCUCUGUCUAAUAAAGAGGGGUCAUGACGGUACCGUAAGAAUAAGCACCGGCUAACUACGUG
rnacentral:rRNA from 1 species